rnacentral:rRNA from 1 species
ACAGACACGAGGGGGAUCCAACACACAUGAACCGGUGGGUGGUGUCCGUGCCCCAUUACUCUUACGGAAUUCUCCACCUGUUUUCUUCCCGGGAAAAGAUUACACCACAUAUACACUCAUACCUAAUCAGUAAUAUGCGAUAUUCAGGUUUUUAGUAUCGACAGGAUCUCCCGCGGCAUGAAGCACCUGCAGGAUGUCUCAGCCAUCAGCACACUUUACACAAAUCCCCAUCAUUAACAUUCACUGUGACUGCCCCAAGCAAAUCCGGGAUAUAUUUGUUUUCGACCAUCGUGGCAUUAUCUUCAGCUCUUCUUAGAACUAGAAGUAAAACCUCCACUUAAUUCAACUCGGCUAAUGUCAAUAGGGAGGCAAUUCUUUCAAUUUUACAGCCAAAACCUUUCGAUAUUAAAUCGUAUUACCAUUGGAGGGGGUUCUCUCCUUGCGGGGCACUCCCACUCAAGGGAGAAACCCAGGGGGGCGAAUGGGAUUAGUUUACCCCUCAUGUCCUUCCGUAAACGAUUGAUACCCAGCGUGGCUUGUUUUCAUCCCAGCCCUGCCGUGGCUAGCGCGUUAAGUAUCCCCCCUCGUGAGUACGCACGCAAGUGUGAAACUCAACAGAAUUAAUNGGGGCCCGCACAAGCGGUNGAGUAUGUGGUUUAAUUUGAUGAACGCGAAGAACCUUACCAAGGGCUUGACAUGUCGCGAACUCUUCUGAAAGGAAGAGGGGCUUCGGAGCGCGAACACAGGGGGAGCAUGGCAGUA